AGAAUGCUGUCAUUAUUGAAGAUGCUCCAUACUAUAAAUGGCUGAGAACACACAGAACCCUGCCUGUCUUUCAUCCCACCAGGAGCUCCUUGCAACUCUUUUGACAACUAAAUGAGACUCCGAUUUGCCACCUGAAGUUUUACCAGUGGAGGAAUCCUGGGUCUUCGAAGCUCCUCUGCAUACAUCGUGGUCACCUAGAUGAACUUCUUUCCAUGCCCAUGGGCAAG